rnacentral:lncRNA from 1 species
CCCAAAUCUGCUCAAGAUAAGUGAAGGCUGCUGAAAAAUGCCCAAGUUUACAGUUUAUGUUGUUUUCACUUUACUAUCUGAAGUUCUACUUUUAUAUUAUAGGGAAGGGCUAACAUUCCUCACAAAGUGACAAACACUUUCUCAGAUGCCACAGAUCAACAUCAUACAGAAGCACAGAGGACCUUCUGCACUUGUCUGGAGCAGCUCCUAGACUAAGUAUAUACUUCAAAUAUUAAUGGAGAAAAGAAACAAAAUCUGCACAAUACAGUUGAAAAACCACAAGGAGAACAAAACUUGAAUCCAGCAAAGAGGUCUGAAACUCCCUGUCUAUCUCCCAGCUUGAGUUCUGCAACCCAAAGAAGGAGGAUUCCUGGUAGUCACAGGGAAGAAAUGAUCAGACUUCUCAGCAGAUAUGAGUCAUCACAGGAUUUCAGGCUCCAGCACACUGCCAGUUUUAACGGUCAUUUCAAAAUGCCUAACAAGAAGAGAAAUUGUGUAAGUUGAAUCCAUUUUUGUGAAAAUUUUAAAGAGAAUAAGUGAUUUGCUUAUGAUAAAUUAAGUUCCUAGGGCUCUUC